CCACGGGUGGCCGAACGGUUGAGGCAACAGUCUGUAAAACUGUGAUAAGUAGGUCCGAUUCCUACCCCGUGGA
rnacentral:tRNA from 2 species